rnacentral:rRNA from 1 species
UAGGGAAUCUUCCACAAUGGGCGAAAGCCUGAUGGAGCAACGCCGCGUGUGUGAUGAAGGGUUUCGGCUCGUAAAACACUGUUGUAAGAGAAGAAUGACAUUGAGAGUAACUGUUCAAUGUGUGACGGUAUCUUACCAGAAAGGAACGGCUAAAUACGUGUCAC